rnacentral:rRNA from 1 species
GACGAACGCUGGCGGCGUGCUUAACACAUGCAAGUCGGACGGUGAAAGCGGAGCUUGCUCCGCUGGAUCAGUGGCGAACGGGUGAGUAACACGUGGGCAACCUGCCCCUCACUUCGGGAUAACUCCGGGAAACCGGGGCUAAUACCGGAUAUGACCUCCUUGGGCAUCCUUGGAGGUGGAAAGUUUUUCGGUGAGGGAUGGGCCCGCGGCCUAUCAGCUUGUUGGUGAGGUAGUGGCUCACCAAGGCGACGACGGGUAGCCGGCCUGAGAGGGCGACCGGCCACACUGGGACUGAGAUACGGCCCAGACUCCUACGGGAGGCAGCAGUGGGGAAUAUUGCACAAUGGGCGCAAGCCUGAUGCAGCGACGCCGCGUGAGGGAUGACGGCCUUCGGGUUGUAAACCUCUUUCAGCACCGACGAAGCGCAAGUGACGGUAGGUGCAGAAGAAGGACCGGCCAACUACGUGCCAGCCGCCGCAGUAA